rnacentral:rRNA from 1 species
UACAGAGGUCUCAAGCGUUGUUCGGAUUUACUGGGCGUAAAGGGCGCGUAGGCGGUCAGCACAAGUCAGUUGUGAAAUCUCCGGGCUUAACUCGGAAAGGUCAACUGAUACUGUGCGACUAGAGUGCGGAAGGGGCAACUGGAAUUCUCGGUGUAGCGGUGAAAUGCGCAGAUAUCAGGAGGAACACCGGUGGCGAAGGCGGGUCUCUGGGCCGAUACUGACGCUGAGGAGCGAAAGCGCGGGGAGCAAACAGG